UUAACUUGGGAGUCAGAACAUGGGUGAUAAGGUCCGUGUUCGAAAGGGAAACAGCCCAGACCACCAGCUAAGGUCCCAAAAUAUAUGUUAAGUGGAAAAGGAUGUGGCGUUGCCCAGACAACUAGGAUGUUGGCUUAGAAGCAGCCAUCAUUUAAAGAGUGCGUAAUAGCUCACUAGUCGAGUGACACUGCGCCGAAAAUGUACCGGGGCUAAACAUAUUACCGAAGCUGUGGAUUGUCCUUUGGACAAUGGUAGGAGAGCGUUCUAAGGGCGUUGAAGCAUGAUCGUAAGGACAUGUGGAGCGCUUAGAAGUGAGAAUGCCGGUGUGAGUAGCGAAAGACGGGUGAGAAUCCCGUCCACCGAUUGACUAAGGUUUCCAGAGGAAGGCUCG
rnacentral:rRNA from 1 species